rnacentral:rRNA from 1 species
AUUGAACGCUGGCGGCAGGCUUAACACAUGCAAGUCGAGCGAGCGGCGGACGGGUGAGUAAUGUGUGGGAAUCUGCCUGAUGGAGGGGGAUAACUACGGGAAACGGUAGCUAAUACCGCAUACCAUCAGAUGUGCCCAGGUGGGAUUAGGUAGUUGGUGGGGUAAGGGCUCACCAAGGCGACGAUCCCUAGCUGGUCUGAGAGGAUGACCAGCCACACUGGGACUGAGACACGGCCCAGACUCCUACGGGAGGCAGCAGUGGGGAAUAUUGCACAAUGGGCGCAAGCCUGACGCAGCCAUGCCGCGUGUAUGAAGAAGGCCUUCGGGUUGUAAAGUACUUUCAGUGGGGAGGCGUUACCCACAGAAGAAGCACCGGCUAACUCCGUGCCAGCAGCCGCGGUAAUUC